UAGGGAAUUUUGGACAAUGGGGGCAACCCUGAUCCAGCAAUGCCGCGUGAGUGAAGAAGGCCUUCGGGUUGUAAAGCUCUUUUGUCAGGGAAGAAACGGUAGUAGCGAAUAACUAUUACUAAUGACGGUACCUGAAGAAUAAGCACCGGCUAACUACGUGCCAGCAGCCGCGGUAAUACGUAGGGUGCAAGCGUUAAUCGGAAUUACUGGGCGUAAAGCGUGCGCAGGCGGUUGUGUAAGUCAGAUGUGAAAUCCCCGGGCUCAACCUGGGAAUUGCAUUUGAGACUGCACGGCUAGAGUGUGUCAGAGGGGGGUAGAAUUCCACGUGUAGCAGUGAAAUGCGUAGAUAUGUGGAGGAAUACCGAUGGCGAAGGCAGCCCCCUGGGCUAACACUGACGCUCAUGCACGAAAGCGUGGGGAGCAAACAGGAUUAGAUACCCCUGUAGUCCCUGAGCGGGCUGGCAAGGCGCAU
rnacentral:rRNA from 1 species